rnacentral:rRNA from 1 species
UCCGUAGGUGGCAAGCGUUGUCCGGAUUUAUUGGGUUUAAAGGGUGCGUAGGCGGCAUUUUAAGUCAGUGGUGAAAUACUUCAGCUUAACUGGAGAGGUGCCAUUGAUACUGGGAUGCUUGAGUACUGAUGAGGUAGGCGGAAUGGACGGUGUAGCGGUGAAAUGCUUAGAUAUCGUCCAGAACACCGAUAGCGAAGGCAGCUUACUAAGGAGUAACUGACGCUGAGGCACGAAAGUGUGGGGAUCAAACAGG